rnacentral:tRNA from 1 species
GAAGAGGUGGCUCAGUGGUAAAAAGCGCUGGCUGCUUUUGCAGAGGACCUGGGUUCAAGUCCCAGCACCUGCA